GUUUUCGCGUGAAAACCUCUUUUGUCUAUGAAAACGCGAAUUUUGUGUCGGUGCGAACAUAGUAUUAGGAAAGAGCUUUAUAGGAGGAGUUGUAAAAAUUGGAAAUGGUCGUGGCGUCACCAAACUUUAGGUGAAAUCCUAUAUCUCAGGACCUAUCGAGCUAGUUUCAACCUAAUUUGGUAUGUAGUGUUACCUAGUCAUUCCUAUCACUUACUGCGAAAAUAAGCGAAAUCGUACAAUGACUACAAAACUAUGUGGCUAAAAUUUGAAUAACAAAUUUACUUCAACGCAUCCUUAAAUAAAGUGAUAAAACCACUGCUUCAAAAGCGUGUUUUUCAGUUUUUCGAAACUAUCUAUAUUUAUUCAUUUAACAACGAAAAGUUAGAUGUGGCAGUAGUGUAAGACCUGAAACUUUACAAGUGUAGUAGUGAAUUGGUUACUGCCGGGUUGUAGGGUAGCAGGUGUAAUUAAUUCAGCUUUUAUUGGUUUGACGUUCAAAACAGAAAUUUUAUCGGUUUUGUUAUCAGAAACGGAGCAAGAGGAUAAUCGCUGAUAUAUAUGAAAUGGCAAAAUAUAAGAAUAAAACACAAAAUUUCGUAAGUAUUGAGUUUAUUGAAAAAAAGAGGAUUUAAAAAACGUAAUAAACGGAAUUUAACACCCAAAUGUGUCUUUAUUCAAUCGUUAAUAAGAUAAACAGGCAUGUUCUCGAACAACUGUGUUCUACAAUUCGUUCGACUUCAUUUGAUUUAGAAUUUCAGUUCGAAACAGCUGAUUUCUUUGUGACAGUUUGACAAAGCAAUGAACGAUAUCAUCAAGGUCGAAUCGAAAAUGAACACGUUAUAAAAUAGACGAUAUUGAACCAGAAAUUGGGUUAGAAAUCGAUUCAAUUGACGAGGAAAUAGCUGAAAAUGAGGAAAGUAAUAGUUCAAAUAAUAUUGGUCAAAAUUUAGGACUAUGCAAGAAAUUUGCUAUUAUAAUAUAAAACGCAAAAAUUUAAAUAAAAUACAAAUAAAUUGUAUGUGUAGUUAAAUGGUGCGUAUUUAUUAUGUUAAUUCAUUCUCUAGCAUUUUCAUUUUUAUUUUAACUUUUUCGUGUUUUCUAAGGUGAUGCCUUUACUGUUCCUCUAAACUUUGAGAUUUUAGGCGAUUUUGUUCUGCUAAUAAAUUAUUUUGUUUUUCAACUGUCCGGCAAAGCCGUUGAAUAUUAUUCGCUUCUUCUUAAUAUUGCAUCAAUUGUUGCUGGCACUCACUAAAUCAGUAAAGGUUAUGGAAAUUUUUCCCAUACCAUUUGAUUGUGUGUCAUGUACGUUAGGAGGGAGUCCCGAUUUUCGGAAACUCGUAGUCGUUUUGCGGCUCGUAGGGUAACCACGGUUUCCCUGCUUGUUUGUAGAGGUUCUUCCUCUGAUUCGCUAAUACAGAAACUUGUUACUGCCCCAAAACUUCGAGAAUUUGAAAUGCCCUCAACGGUCGCGAAAAUUCCACAGAUCCUUGCAACACAUUCUUCGCUAUUCGUUAAUAUAUGCUUGUUGAAGGGUCCACCGCCAAUCGCUCUUGCUUCUAAAUUGUUACGCGCAACCUUUUUGCGAAUCCAGUCAAACCAUAUCUUAAUAAUAAAAGAAGAAAUACAGUUUAAAAUUCAUUUAUUUUAAUAAUCGAUUAAAUACCACUUACAUUUUUUAUAGUUUCAUCAGUUUUUCUGGUGUGGUCCUUCUGCAUUCAGCAACGUGGCUAGCUCCUUCCAUGUUUCUUCUACUGCCACUCUAUCUCGUUUAGAAAAAUUGCAUGCUAAAUCGGAAUACGUUUCCAUAAAUUCAAUAUGGAUUAUUUCUUGUCUUGAGUUAAAAGUUUAAAGAAUAACAUUCACAUAUACAUUUCGUUUACUUUAAAUUUAUUUUAUUAUAUACUUACAAAGAAAUAAAUGUUACUUGAAAAAACCGUUGAUUUAAA